GUGGAUCGCUUGUGGCUGGCCGAUGUUGGCCAGGUGGCGUUUCGGACCCUGGUCUCUGGGAAACAAGUUGCAAGUUAUACAGCGGCCUCUCCUAAGUUACUUUCUUGGGGUAAGGAAGGCACCACGAUGUUUCCAAAGUAACUCGACAGAGCGGAAGCUAAGAUCUUUCGCCGGAGCAAUGAGUAAUGUGUUCCCGUUUCAUGCAAAAGUUACUUUAAGCAGUUGCUUUCCACGGCAAAAGGGGGUGUAGCCGUUCACGUGGUCGUGACACGCUUGCAGAACUCUUUGCUACCCAGUGUGGCUACCAAUCCUGCUAACAAGCUGCACAGAACCUCGAUGUUUGGAACAGAAACCGGAGAGGGUGUUUUUUUUAGAUCACAACUCCCAGAAUCCACAGCCAGAAGGUGGGGAGAUUCUGGCAGCUGCUGUUCAAAAGGGUUUUUAAAAACGUGUAACGAAAGGUUACAAAAGGCUACACAAUUGUGUGCAAAAUAACAUUUGUUUUGGUUUCUUUUUCUUUUCAAAGGUGAAAGUAACAAAGUUUUAUUUCAGGUGAAAGUAACAUAAAUGAAACUAAAACCAAAAUAAACAUGCCCUUAGAUCAACAA